AUUGAACGCUGGCGGCAGGCCUAACACAUGCAAGUCGAGCGGAUGAAGGGAGCUUGCUCCUGGAUUCAGCGGCGGACGGGUGAGUAAUGCCUAGGAAUCUGCCUGGUAGUGGGGGAUAACGUCCGGACACGGGCGCUAAUACCGCAUACGUCCUGAGGGAGAAAGUGGGGGAUCUUCGGACCUCACGCUAUAAGAUGAGCCUAGGUCGGAUUAGCUAGUUGGUGGGGUAAAGGCCUACCAAGGCGACGAUCCGUAACUGGUCUGAGAGGAUGAUCAGUCACACUGGAACUGAGACGCGGUCCAGACUCCUACGGGAGGCAGCAGUGGGGAAUAUUGGACAAUGGGCGAAAGCCUGAUCCAGCCAUGCCGCGUGUGUGAAGAAGGUCUUCGGAUUGUAAAGCACUUUAAGUUGGGAGGAAGGGCAGUAAGUUAAUACCUUGCUGUUCUGACGUUACUAACAGAAUAAGCACCGGCUAACUUCGUG
rnacentral:rRNA from 1 species